UGCUAAGGUAGCUCUCACACACCUCGGCUCUGGGGUUGAUACCUGAGCCCGCAAUAGAACCCUGAAAUCAAGAGCAUGGCUUGAGUGUGUGAAUAUGAUGUGUGCACAUGCUUAAUGAGCAUGUGAGUGUGCACACGUUUGUGGAGAGGAGGGUGUUCUGGCCUGAGAAGGAGCUCUUUUCUGUUCCCAAGACUCAGGACUCUUGAGCUGUGGCUUACUUGCUGUCUUCACCAGGUUCAAGCUCCGUGGGCCACACUGCUGCUGUGCCAAGAAGGUGUACAGCCUCCCCAGGAUGGGGCCUUGUACAACCCUUCAUCUGCACUCAACAUUUAAUCGUGUCCUUGCUGUCUUUUUAUUUUCCUUUUUGUUUGUUAGCAAAAACCUCUGUUUAGAUUUCAAUAAUCAGAGAAGUGUAAAAUAAAACAGAUUACAUUGUACUUG
rnacentral:sRNA from 1 species